rnacentral:rRNA from 1 species
GGUUGUAAAGCCCUUUUGUUGGGAAAGAAAUCCAGCUGGCUAAUACCCGGUUGGGAUGACGGUACCCAAAGAAUAAGCACCGGCUAACUUCGUGCCAGCAGCCGCGGUAAUACGAAGGGUGCAAGCGUUACUCGGAAUUACUGGGCGUAAAGCGUGCGUAGGUGGUCGUUUAAGUCCGUUGUGAAAGCCCUGGGCUCAACCUGGGAACUGCAGUGGAUACUGGGCGACUAGAGUGUGGUAGAGGGUAGCGGAAUUCCUGGUGUAGCAGUGAAAUGCGUAGAGAUCAGGAGGAACAUCCAUGGCGAAGGCAGCUACCUGGACCAACACUGACACUGAGGCACGAAAGCGUGGGGAGCAAACAGGAUUAGAUAC